rnacentral:ncRNA from 1 species
ACUCGAUAAAGGCAAACCAGGCGAAAGCCUGGGCACGCAAAGCUAUAGGGGCUAAAGCGCUGAUUCCGGCGCCAAGCCAGCCAGUUGCCGAA